rnacentral:rRNA from 1 species
GAUGAACGCUGGCGGCGUGCCUAAUACAUGCAAGUCGAGCGAAGUGCGGACGGUUGAGUGACACGUGGAUGACCUCCUAUAAGACUGGUAUAACUCCGGGAAACCUGAGCUAAACCGGCAACUUAUUGAUGGUUCCGCUCUGCAUUAGCUAGUGGGUACGGUAACGGCUGAACAAGGCAACGAUGAAUAGCCGACCUGGGCGGGUUGUCGACCACACUGGAACGGAGACACGGGCCAGAUGGCUACGGGAGGCAGCAGAAGGGAAUCUGCCGCAAUGGGCUAAAGCCUGAUGGAGAAACGCCGCGUGAGUGAUGAAGGUAUUCGGAUCGUAAAACUCUGUUAUUAGGGAAGCGGUACCUAAAGAGAAAGCCACGGCUAACUACGUGCCAGCAGCCGCGGUAAUUC